AACGAACGCUGGCGGCAGGCUUAACACAUGCAAGUCGAACGCGUGUAGCAAUACACGAGUGGCGCACGGGUGAGGAACACGUGGAUUAUCUGCCUUUUGGUUCGGAAUAACCCCGGGAAACUGGGGCUAAUACCGGAUGGUUCCUACGGGAUAAAGAUUUAUCGCCAAAAGAUGAGUCCGCGUUCGAUUAGCUAGUUGGUGGGGUAAUGGCCCACCAAGGCUACGAUCGGUAGCUGGUCUGAGAGGACGAUCAGCCACACUGGGACUGAGACACGGCCCAGACUCCUACGGGAGGCAGCAGUGGGGAAUAUUGGACAAUGGGGGCAACCCUGAUCCAGCCAUGCCGCGUGAGUGAUGAAGGCCUUCGGGUUGUAAAGCUCUUUUGGCGGGGACGAUGAUGACGGUACCCGCAGAAUAAGCCCCGGCUAACUUCGUGCCAGCCGCCGCUGUAACAC
rnacentral:rRNA from 1 species